UUAGGUAAUUAUUAUAGUGUGCGUGUCUUCUUGACGCUGUUUGAAUUUGAUAUUUAAUUUCGACUCUGAAAAGCGUCGAGAAACCCUCACGUGUGGGGCACGUGAUGUACUUUGCUUAACCUACAUCUUCAGAAUUCAUUUUAGGGGAAAAAACCGUCGCUCCUGAACAAAAGUAGAACCCUUGUUCUCAAUUGUUCUUAUUAUCGUCUCUUUUUUCGAUUUUAAUCCUCCAAAAAUGCAAAGAAUUCAUCAAUCUUGGAUUAAGAUAUACUUUUUCUCUUUAUAUUACGUUGCGGAAUUUUCCUUACUUAUUGUCAAAUUUAAUCAAAUACGUUCAGAUCGAUGAUUCUGAGAAGAUCUAAAGUAUGUCACUAUCUUGGAGAUGGUAUAUGUUUUGGUAUAGCAACUCUCUUCCAUUCCAGAGUCAAAGAAGAGUAUCCUGAUUGGAAAAGGCAAUGUAGGUGCAACAAGAGAAUAGGCCGGGACACUUGAGGAUCAAAACAAGCGACUAUAAUCGUCUAUAACGCCAUCAUAGUCUUAUUUAUAUUAGUGAUGUAUUUAUUUAGGGACAAGCUACUAUAAUAUGCGACUUGAACCUAGGGAUGUCAUUGGCAUUGAACUUUUGCAGAAGAAGUUCCUUGUCCACAAGGACCCCUUGUGAGCUAAUGCCUUGGAAUCUAUAGUCAUUGGAAAGUUUGCUCAAGCUUUCUUGCAUGAGCUCCAUUUGUUAUUUCUUCACAUGGUCCUUGAUUUGAAGGGCCACAGUCUUCAUCAAUUCAGUCUAGUUAGCCACGUCCUUCCUAAAUUCGUUGACUUCUUCUUGAGUUGUCAUUAUCUUCUUAGCUUUUCUUUUUCGACUGAUUAGUUUGUCGAAAAGUAGUACUUGAACAAAUGUGUUGUCCUUGAUUAAUCGCCCUUCCUUCCUUGACCAAGAGCUGUAAAUUAAACCAUUUAUUUGUUUUAA